rnacentral:rRNA from 1 species
GAUGAACGCUGGCGGCGUGCCUAAUCCAUGCAAGUCAAGCGAACAGACGAGGAGUUUGCUCCUCUGACGUUAGCGGCGGACGGGUGAUUAACACUUGGAUAACCUACCUAUAAGACUGGGAUACCUUCGGGAAACCGGAGCUAAUACCGGAUAAUAUAUUGAACCGCAUGGUUCAAUAGUGAAAGACGUUUUUGCUUUCACUUUUAGUUGGAUCCGCGCCGAAUUAGCUAGUUGUUAAGGUAACGGCUUACCAAGGCGACGAUGCGUAGCCGACCUGAGAGGGGGAUCGGCCGCACUGGAACUGAGACACGGUCCAGACUCCUACGGGAGGAAGCAGUAGGGAAUCUUCCGCAAUGGGCGAAAGCCUGACGGAGCAACGCCGCGUGAGUGAUGAAGGUCUUCGGAUCGUAAAACUCUGUUAUUAGGGAAGAACAAAUGUGUAAGUAACUAUGCACGUCUUGACGGUACCUAAUCAGAAAGCCACGGCUAACUACGUG